ACCACAACGGGUGGAGCUUGCGGUUUAAUGGAUUCAACGCCGGAAAUCUUACCGGGACCGACAGCAAUAUGAAGGCCAGGCUGAAGACUUUGCCGGAUUAGCUGAGAGGUGGUGCAUGGCCGUCGUCAGUUCGUACUGUGAAGCAUCCUGUUAAGUCAGGCAACGAGCGAGACCCACGCCCACAGUUGCCAGCGUACUCUCUGGAGUGACGGGUACACUGUGGGGACCGCCGCUGCUAAAGCGGAGGAAGGAAUGGGCAACGGUAGGUCAGUAUGCCCCGAAUAUCCCGGGCUACACGCGAGCUACAAUGGUUGGUACAAUGGGUAUCUACCCCGAAAGGGGACGGGAAUCUCCUAAACCCAUCCGUAGUUCGGAUUGUGGGCUGCAACUCGCCCACAUGAAGCUGGAAUCUGUAGUAAUCGUGUCUCAAAAUGGCACGGUGAAUAUGUCCCUGCUCCUU
rnacentral:rRNA from 1 species